CUGCUUUGCAGUCACAAUAACUGUUUCGCUUUUACGUGUUGUUUAUUGAUAUCCAUGGUGGUAUUUCUUCCAUUUUCUAGGUGUGACGUAUGGUGGAAUGACACGUGCCAAAAGGGGAGACCUGGCGGGGCUGGGAUGAAAGCAAAUGUACAGUACAACGGCUACCACCUCUGCUCGUACUACUUCACCGAAUGCUCUCACGCCGACCUUGCCAGAACGCGGCAGUUGUUGACGGCUGUUCCCGCUGUUGCAGUGGAAGUGGUGUCCCUGAUCGAUGAAGGACCCUCCCGGGCACAAGUCACGGCUGAUUCGACUCAAGACCACCCGGGCCAAAACAGGCUCGCCGCAGUGUCAGAAGGCGACCCUACCACAGCCGGCUCCGUCUCCCAUGAAUCGGCGUCUCAUCUCUGUAUCACGCGAUCAUUUGUACUUACUAUACGUGAUACGCAGCUAUGCGCUACUGUGGCAUGUACUGAAUGUCUUCGUUUUCGAUACGUUGCUAAUAAAAUAAGUGA